rnacentral:lncRNA from 1 species
GCAGAGGGAACAGCAAGAGUCAAGUUCCUGAGGCAAGAAUACCCCAUGACUGUUCAAAACAGCAAGAACCCAGUGAGGAUGGAGCGUAGUGAGCAAGGAAGACAGAGGAGGGGGGUAAGAUUAGAGGUCUUGGCAGUAGGGGAAGGUGUUCAUACAAGGACCUGUGGGGUGCGGAGAGGUGUUUGAAUUUUAAGCUAGGUGUCAUCAGAGACUUUGAAGGAUUUCAUGAAAGUGAGUGCAAGAUCUGACUUCUGCUUUUGUGACAUUACUCUAGCUGCUAAGUGCAUAUAGAGUCUCAAGAACAAAAGCCAUAAGCCCAGUUAAGAGACUAUGAAGGGAGGUGGGCAAGAGAUAAAUGGAAGCUCAGACCCACGUGCUCCACAGGAGCAGUAUAAAGGGGUCAGAUCCAAGAAAUUAAAGCUUGAGCCAAUAAGAUAUAUAGUGGAUUAAGUUUGGGGAUGACCAUGUCCCUAAAACCAUGUUGGCUAAUGGCUGUAUCUACUGUAACUAAAAAGAUGCUCAAAAAUAUGUGUUAAUUGAACAAACUGAUCUGAGAGCCAGAAACAUAAAUCCCAGUUCCACUCAUUUACCAUCUAUCUAACAGUUCUUUGCCUAAGUCUUACUUUCAGACAUGUGGUGGUCAUCAGGAAGACAAUAAUGAGGAUUGAAAGAACUACUCUGCCACAGCCUUCAAUCUGGAGUCACAAGUCAGGCAGUGACUGUAAUAGCCCAGGCUGAGUUUAUAUGGAGUGACAUAGGGCAACCAAGGACUUCACUUGUUCCGUAUCAAGGGACUUACAGAGAGGACUCAUCUGAUUGAGAGCUUACAUAACUAAAAUCAAAUCUGCCCAAGAGCCAACUUAUAGAGUAACUGCCUUCUGCUUUCCAAGGUGUUGUGAUUAGAUUACCAAAUAAACUAAUCCUGUGUUAAUACUUCAAAAUUCUAGCCUCACAGAGAAUGUUAAAUCAAGGGAAAAAGAAUGAUAGGGUUUACCUGAGUAAUAUAUCCAAGAAAAUAAAAAUCCUGAAAUUCUCA